AUCGUUUUUCCGAAGUCGUUGAUACUCCAUCUCAAUAACUUUCAACGUAGUUUUUCGUAGUAUGGUGAACUUUAUGAGUUUUAUUCGAUUUAAAUAAAUAUAUAUGAAUGAUAGAAAGGUGAUCUUUAUGUUGUCAAUUUGCAAACAACGAACAUUCAAAUGGUGUCGGGUACAGUGCAAAUAACCAAAAUAUUUGUUCGAAGAUGCUACUAUAUUUUUAAAUCGCAUAAUGUGAUAGUUUACAUUUUGGAAUAGAUGUUAGUUUUUUCAGACAAGGGCUGAGGAUUUUCUUUUUAUUAUCGUGGGUAUUUCGAAAAAUGUACUGAACCAUUUUAAGUUUUGCGCGAGUCUUUCAUUGGUUUUGAUGACCGUUGUGAUUUUUCCUAAUGGCGCAUGCACGGCUCAGCUGUGUGCAAUCGCGACCAAUGUACGUAGAAAAAUAAUGUAUUUUAUAGUAUUUUUAUUCAAUUAAACGGAGUACUGGACACAGUGUUCGUGAUAUUAGGAAACAUGGAUUGUCCAUCCAGUAUCGCAACAGUGCAUAAAUUGUACCUGUAUUGCAUGUAGCCUUUCAUUUUGCAUUGUUUUUGAUGCACCAAAAAGGAUAUUACAUUUUUGAGAAAAGCUAUUCUUAGCCAUUUAAUAGAAAAAAAUGGAUGGGGUACGUGAUGAGGACAGGCGCAGGCGCCUGAGGGUAUUGGAGGAACGUAUAAAAGAUCCGAGAAGCAUUACAAAUAUUGAUUGCCUUUUGGAUACCGUUCAAGCCCUGGUGGCAGAUUGUGAUCAUCCCAGUGUAAAGCGUAUGAAAAAUAUAGAAGCAUAUAUGAACAGAUAUGAUUCGGUAGCUCAGGAUAUUUGUAAAAUGCGAAUGCGUACGGAUGACUUCACUUUGAUAAAAGUGAUAGGUCGCGGAGCAUUCGGUGAGGUACAGUUGGUACGGCAUAAAUCUACGCAAAAAGUAUAUGCUAUGAAAUUAUUGAGUAAAUUUGAAAUGAUUAAACGAUCAGAUUCAGCUUUUUUCUGGGAAGAACGUGAUAUAAUGGCACAUGCUAAUUCCCAAUGGAUAGUUCAGCUUCAUUUCGCGUUUCAAGAUCACAAAUAUCUUUAUAUGGUGAUGGAUUAUAUGCCGGGCGGUGAUUUAGUAAACUUAAUGUCAAACUAUGAUGUGCCAGAGAAAUGGGCGAAAUUUUAUUGUGCGGAAGUGGUGCUCGCAUUGGAUGCAAUACACCUUAUGGGAUUUGUUCAUCGGGACGUAAAGCCAGAUAACAUGUUACUUGAUAAACAUGGCCACUUAAAACUUGCAGAUUUUGGCACUUGUAUGAGAAUGGAUAUCGAUGGACUCGUUCGAUCUGAUACCGCAGUAGGUACACCUGAUUAUAUAUCACCUGAAGUACUCCAAUCCCAAGGUGGUGAAGGUGUAUAUGGAAGAGAGUGUGAUUGGUGGUCAGUAGGAGUGUUUUUGUACGAAAUGCUUGUUGGUGACACGCCUUUUUAUGCAGAUUCAUUAGUUGGGACAUAUUCGAAAAUUAUGGAUCACAGAAACUCGUUACACUUUCCUCCAGAAGUUGAUAUUUCUCACUCGGCUAAGAAUUUAAUAUGCGGCUUUCUUACUGAUAGAACAAAACGUUUAGGAAGAAAUGGGGUAGAGGAAAUAAAAAAUCACCCAUUCUUUAAAAAUGAUCAAUGGACGUUUGACAAUUUACGAGAGUGUGUGCCACCAGUAGUACCAGAACUUUCUGGUGAUGAUGAUACUAGUAAUUUUGAUGAUGUUGAUAAAGAGGAUGGUCCAGAGGAAAGUUUUCCAGUUCCGAAAGCAUUUUCUGGAAAUCAUCUGCCUUUUAUUGGUUUUACAUAUUCAGGAGACUAUCAGUUAAUGGCCUUUACUGGUAAAGAAUCGGUAGAUGGAUUAGAAAAUCAUAUCAAUAACGGUACGAGCGAUGAUGUUAAAAUUUCGCAGUUAGAAAAUUUAUUGGAUAAAGAGAGAAGACAAGUAGAAUCCUUGGAAUCACGACAGAAAGCUUUGACAACGCAGUUAGAAGCUAUGACGCGUCGUGAAACUGAAUUACGCGAAGAAAUAGGCAGAGCGGAUAAGGAAUUGACUUUGUUGAGACACAAUUAUAAAGAAGCACAACGCAGGGUAGAGCAUGAAACGGAAACGCGUAGAAAAGCAGAAUCGUUAUUCGUUGAAUUAAAAAAGAAAUUUGAUGAAGAGCAGACGAAAAGAGCGCGCGAUGCGAGUAAUUCACAGCAAACAUCCGAACGUGUUACAUCGUUAGAAAAACAAAUUAAGGAGAUGCAAUCAAAAUUGGAAAGGGAAACCGAAACUGUAACGAGGUUGCGGAAACAAGCCACAGAGAUUACUGUUGUUCGUCAAGCGGCAGAACAAAUGGCAAAUGAAUUACAAGUGGCAAGAGCUCAGUUACAAGCGCAACGUGAUAACUUGCAACAAGAAGUGGCAACGCUACAAGGACAACUGUCGAAAGAGAGGAGUUCUCGAUCACAAGCCUCAUCGUUAACCGCCGAAUUAGAAAGUCGUCUUUCUGCUCUUCAUCUUGAACUUGAACAUAGUCGCGAAAAAGAGGAAAAAGCACUUAUGGAUAACCGGCAAUUAACCGAAAGAAUUUCAGCGUUAGAAAAAGAAGCUGCUAGUUUGACUCUUGAAUUGAAAGCCGCGCAAGCGAGGUAUAAUCAAGAAGUGGUUGCUCAUCAAGAAACGGAACGUUCACGCAUAUUAUCCAAAGAAGAAGCUAACUUAGAGGUUGUUAAAGCAUUACAAGCAAAACUAAACGAAGAGAAAAGUGGAAGACAACGCGCCGAAUUGCUUGCACAAGAAAAGGAAAGGCAAACCUCUAUGCUUUCUGUGGAUUACCGUCAAAUACAGCAACGUUUACAGAAAUUGGAGGGUGAGCACAGGCAAGAAGUGGAAAAGGUAAAGGUGCUACAGGGUCAGGUUGAGCAGGAACAGCAGAAAAGAAACGUGCUACAAACGGAUCUGGCGCAGCAAUCAUCAGAAGCAGGACGAUUACGUGCUAGGGAACAACAGUUAGUUGGUGAAGUUGCUCAGCUAAGGGAAGCAAAACGACAGAUAGAGGAAGAAUUGCAUCAUUUGAAAACUCAAAGAAACGUGGAUCAGUUACAGACAAAGGAAUUACAGGAACAGUUGGAAGCAGAAGCUUACUUCUCGACUCUUUACAAAACACAGACACAAGAACUUCGAGAAGAACUGGACGAGAAAAUACGAUUACAACAAGAAUUAGAAGAAGAACGUGCUUCUUUAGUGCACCAGUUGCAAUUGUCUUUAGCUAGAGGAGACAGUGAAGCUUUAGCAAGAUCAAUAGCUGAAGAAACUGUGGCAGAUCUUGAGAAAGAACGAACGAUGAAGGAAUUAGAGUACAAAGAUGGCGUAGCGAAACAUCAUCAAGAAUUAAAUUCAAAAGAACAGAUUAUAAAUCGGCUUAAAGAUAACGAAAAUGAACUUAAGAAAAGCGUUGAUCAGUAUCUUAAAGAGAAGGAUGAUUUCGGUAAACGAUUGAAAGAAUUGCAAGACCAACUUACUAAAGCACAAUCUAAUGGAGAAGAAAUAGAAAAGCUCAGUAGUAAAUUGAAAACUGAACAGUUACUCAAACAACAAGCAGUUAAUAAGUUGGCAGAGAUAAUGAAUAGGAAAGAUUUAUCUUCAAGCGGUAAAACGAAGAACAAAGCAUCUGCUGCAGAUCUAAGGAAGAAGGAAAAAGAUUGUAGACGUUUGCAACAGGAGCUUACUCAAGAGAGAGAAAAGUAUGGACAGUUGGCAGCUAAGUGGCAAAAAGACUUGCAAGAUUUACAGGCCCAAUUAGUGGAAGAAAACCAAGCAAAAUUGAGAUUACAAAUGGAACUUGAUUCAAAGGAUUCAGAGAUAGAAACAUUACAAAUGAAAAUCGCCUCACUUAACUCGGAAACUGCUAGCGUUUCAUCAGUAGAGAAUGACGGAGAAGAUUCUGUCCUAUCAGAGCAUGGUACCAUGAGAUUGGAAGGUUGGUUGAAUGUGCCAAACAAGCAGAACAUUAAAAGGCAUGGAUGGAAGAAGCAAUAUGUUGUCGUUUCAUCGAAGAAGAUAAUAUUUUAUAAUAGUGAGAACGAUAAGCUAAAUGCGGAUCCAGUUUUGAUACUGGAUCUAAAUAAAGUCUUCCACGUUAGAUCUGUUACUCAGGGUGACGUUAUCCGAGCUGAUGCCAAAGAUAUUCCGAGAAUUUUCCAGUUAUUGUACGCUGGUGAAGGCGAAGCAAGACGUCCUGGCGAUGAGGGGAAUACACUGCCUGGAGUAGAACUGCCACAACUUACGGAUAAGCCAGGCACGCAAUCGUUAAAGGGCCAUGAAUUUGUGUCAAUUUCGUAUCAUAUGCCGACUACUUGUGAGGUAUGCUCGAAACAAUUGUGGCACAUGUUUCGACCACCACCCGCUCUUGAGUGUCGACGAUGUCGUAUAAAGGUACACAAGGAGCAUUUGGAUAAGAAAGAGGAUGCCAUAGCACCGUGCAAAUUGCAUUACGAUCCAAACAGUGCCCGUGAAUUAUUAAUAUUGGCUGGUAGUACUGAUGAACAGAAAUACUGGGUCGCAAGACUGUCGAGGCGUGUACAAAAAUGUGGCUACAAGGCGAAUUCGCAUGUCGACGGCACGGGGCAGCGUGUCUCGCCAAGGUAGCGUAGCCGUGCGACUCAACGUAACCGGAGACUAAGUAGCUCUCUUGUAUUGUGGCAUCGCAUGAUUGGGUGUAGCGAGGGAAUCCACGAGAUCCACCUUGAAGCCAUAUUUAUCGGUGCAACAACGAUCCGCGACCCUGCCAGCGAACGCCAGCAUGGGCAAGUGACCAUAGCUAGCACCGACGACACUUGAUUGGAAUUCGUUGCUUCGACGUCCUUCCUAAUCGAUCGAUUAAACGAAUAAAUUUGAUCAGUUUGCUUUCCUCGUUUGAGAUUCAAACGCGUAGACAGACGUUCCUCGGUGUCACCGGUGUUACCAUUAAACCGGUCAAUCUGGAGGAGUUCACAAGUAUCCAAUUUGUGUACUUGAACGCAUCGUUACCAACUUCCUUAUGAGUGGAAGAAAAUUCUGGUAAACGGAGACACCAUAUAACUUGUGUCACCCGUUGAUCACAAGUUGCCCGUUAAUCGUAAUUCAGCAGUCUUCGAUAUUUGUACAGACGACGAAGAAAGAAGGUUGAACGAUCCGGAGAGAUGUUAUUGAAAAUAAGGCUGAACGGUGUUUCUCAAAUGCCAUGGAACGAGGGAAACGUUCAAAAAGGGGCGAUGAAAUGAACAGAAGCAUGUUGCAGCUGUAAUUUACAAGGGAAAUCGUUGAUAGUGUUUAAAGAAAAAAAAAAAAAAGAAAAAAAAAAGCGUACAUA